rnacentral:rRNA from 1 species
GAUAGAAAUCUUACCAGGUCACAGAUAAGCAUGUGCCUCGCUCACAGCCAGUCUUCUCUGAGACAAUCAUUUGACAAAUUGGCCUCAAGCAGGAGGAUACCCG